rnacentral:misc_RNA from 1 species
UGUGGGAGGGGGCUUGCUCCCGAUAGCGGUGUGUCAGCUUGCACAUCUGUUUCUGGCUGACCGCUAUCGGGAGCAAGCCCCCUCCCACA